rnacentral:misc_RNA from 1 species
AUAUAAUAUGUUGUUAAAAAACAUUAUAUAUGCAUGCAUAAAGAGGCAUUCUGUCUAUUCUAUUUAAAAAGGGUAGUGACACUAUUACAAAAAUUUAGUUGAAGUUAAUUUUAUAUAUAAUAUGUAAUACAUAGGUGUCUAACAAGAUGUGUAAUCCAUUUAUAAAUUUAAGCAAUUUACUCACCCUACCCACCCCACCCUUUAGGGUUGGGCAUGGGAGGUACGCAUUGAGACAGGAAAAACUAAACAUUAAAAU